rnacentral:rRNA from 1 species
GAUGAACGCUGGCGGCGUGCCUAAUACAUGCAAGUCGAGCGAACAGACGAGGAGCUUGCUCCUCUGACGUUAGCGGCGGACGGGUGAGUAACACGUGGAUAACCUACCUAUAAGACUGGGAUAACUUCGGGAAACCGGAGCUAAUACCGGAUAAUAUAUUGAACCGCAUGGUUCAAUAGUGAAAGACGGUUUUGCUGCCACUUAUAGAUGGAUCCGCGCCGCAUUAGCUAGUUGGUAAGGUAACGGCUUACCAAGGCGACGAUGCGUAGCCGACCUGAGAGGGUGAUCGGCCACACUGGAACUGAGACACGGUCCGGACUCCUACGGGAGGCAGCAGUAGGGAAUCUUCCGCAAUGGGCGAAAGCCUGACGGAGCAACGCCGCGUGAGUGAUGAAGGUCUUCGGAUCGUAAAACUCUGUUAUUAGGGAAGAACAAAUGUGUAAGUAACUAUGCACGUCUUGACGGUACCUAAUCAGAAAGCCACGGCUAACUACGUG